rnacentral:rRNA from 1 species
GCGCACGCAGUCGCGAAAACUCUGCAAUACGCGAACGCGUGACAGGGCUCCCCCGAGUGUCGUCCGCUGAGGACGACUUUUCCACGCUGUAAGGAGGCGUGGGAAUAAGGAGAGGGCAAGUCUGGUGUCAGCCGCCGCGGUAAUACCAGCUCUCCGAGUGGUAGGGACGUUUAUUGGGCUUAAAGCGUCCGUAGCCGGCUCAACAAGUCUCCCGUUAAAUCCAACGAUUCAAUCGUUGGACUGCGGGAGAUACUGCUGGGCUAUGAGGCGAGAGAGGCCGACGGUAUUCCCGGAGUAUGGGUGAAAUCUUAUAAUUCCGGGAGGACCACCAAUGGCGAAGGCUGUCGGCUAGAACGCGCUCGACGGUGAGGGACGAAAGCUGGGGGAGCGAACCGGAUUAGAUACCCCUGUAGUCC